UAGGGAAUCUUCCACAAUGGACGCAAGUCUGAUGGAGCAACGCCGCGUGAGUGAAGAAGGUCUUCGGAUCGUAAAGCUCUGUUGUUGGUGAAGAAGGAUAGAGGCAGUAACUGGUCUUUAUUUGACGGUAAUCAACCAGAAAGUCACGGCUAACUACGUGCCAGCAGCCGCGGUAAUACGUAGGUGGCAAGCGUUGUCCGGAUUUAUUGGGCGUAAAGCGAGCGCAGGCGGAAUGAUAAGUCUGAUGUGAAAGCCCACGGCUCAACCGUGGAACUGCAUCGGAAACUGUCAUUCUUGAGUGCAGAAGAGGAGAGUGGAACUCCAUGUGUAGCGGUGGAAUGCGUAGAUAUAUGGAAGAACACCAGUGGCGAAGGAGCGCUCUCUGGUCUGCAACUGACGCUGAGGCUCGAAA
rnacentral:rRNA from 1 species